CUCUGGCUCUCCUGCCCGCCUCCGGAUUCUUUCGGGCGUGCGCUCCCUUUCCUUCCCCCGUGGAAAACUUCCAGGAGGGUUUGCUGUUUUUUUAAAUCAUUGCAUAGAACCAUCAGACAAAAACCUGGUGCGCCGAGCGCGGUCCUUUCAGAGGGGGCAGCACUUCAGCUCCUGCCCCACCUGGCAGUCCGGGGGGCCCCAGUGCCGCGAGCGGCCGGAGUUGGAGUCCUUUCCAUUUCAAGCAGAGAAGCCGAAGUAUUUUUACCCAGUAGAGGAAUGAUGUAGUUCCACCCAUCACCUUCUUUUCUUAUAUGCUUCCAGGAAACCUCUAGAGACGGUUAAUGGUGAACAAGUGCAUCCGACUAGUGGUCCCCAAAGUGUUUUCCAGAGAUGAUGAGUGCUAUGGAUGCUUUUCAAAGGGAGGUUUUGGCGAUCAGACA